AGCCGGGUGGUGUAGCGGCCAAGCAUAGCGGGCUUUGGCCCCGCUGACCCAGGUUCGAAUCCUGGCCCGGCUA
rnacentral:tRNA from 1 species